CUACGGGCUGCUCCAGUGAGGAAUAUUGCAAAAUGGGGGGAACCCUGAUGCAGCAACGCCGCGUGGAGGAUGACGCAUUUCGGUGUGUAAACUCCUUUUAUAUGUCAAGAAAAUGACGGUAGCAUAUGAAUAAGCACCGGCUAACUCCGUGCCAGCAGCCGCGGUAAUAAGGAGGGUGCAAGCGUUACUCGGAAUCACUGGGCGUAAAGGACGCGUAGGCGGGUUGGAAAGUCAGGUGUGAAAUCCUACAGCUUAACUGUAGAACUGCACUUGAAACUUCUAAUCUAGAGUAUGGGAGGGGGAGAUGGAAUUAGUGGUGUAGGGGUAAAAUCCGUAGAUAUCACUAGGAAUACCUAAAGCGAAGGCGAUCUCCUGGAACAUUACUGACGCUAAGGCGUGAAAGCGUGGGGAGCAAACAGGAUUAGAUACCCGUGUAGUC
rnacentral:rRNA from 1 species